AGAGCCUGCCCUUCACAAAAAUAGCUCACAGCAUCACAGCACAAGACCAUCAGCCCACCCCUGAUAGCUGCAUAUUGAGUAUGGUAGUAGGCCAACUAAAAGCAGAUGAUGACCCCAUCAUGGGAUUCCAUCAGAGCUUCAUCCUGAAGAACAUUAACGAGGCUUGGGUUUGCACCAAUGACAUGUUCCGCCUGGCGCUGCACAAUUUUGGUUAAACGCCCCAUGGCUAGCAGGAGGGAAGUGGGGGAAGGUGGAGGAUGGGGUUCCGCCCUGAUGACGCCUGAACCUGUCAAUCAGCCCUUCAUGCAUCCCACUCAAGAGAAACAGCUCCGGAUUACAGCAGUCAAUCACAGAAAACAUGCAGGCAUAUACUGUACUGCCUCUACUCCAGAAAUGACAUGUUUCUUUGCUGAAAGCCCACACAUCCAUCAAACUGACCCUUUUCCUUCGCCAACCUGCAUGAUGAUGGGGAACUUAUUAAAUAUCAGAGGACGCCCUGACCAGAACGAAAACAUAUUGACCUAACCUCGGAUGUUUGAUAUUUACAUUUUAGUUGCUGAUUUUGACUUUGAAAUAACAACCGUCUUACUGCCUUUCUUUGCUUUAGUACAACAUGUGUUCAGCUUGUUUUUAGAAUAUGCUCCUUGUAGUUUAAAUCUUUUUUUGUUUUUGCCCCACUUGAAAAUUGGUGUGAUGUCAGGUUGCUCUAGCUAGCCAAAGAACACCACCCUAAUUUCCCCUUCCCCUCAGACCAGUGUGCUUCCCAUUUUCUGCUCACUGUUCUGUGACAAUAAGUACCAAGCCAAGAUACACAAUAAAACAUUUGAAUUUUUCUUAACAACUUCAUCAUGUUGUUCAUCCCCCUGUCUGGUUUUGCGUCUAAUUUAUUUCCCCUUUUCUAUGCUUGUCUCUUCAUGUUUUUCAUACUGCUUCAUAUUAGAUUCUAUCAUUAAGGUUAUAGAUUUAUUUGAGCAGAGCAGAUGAAACUUCUCAGUACUUUUAUUCUUUCAUUUACCCUUUUGUUUUAGUUCAGAUGUUUUGCUUCCCCUGUUUUCCAAUGAUAAAAAUCCUGAAGUAAUGGCAUGUGGGAUGUUAUGUUUCAUAAGCUUGUAUGAAUGUAAAUGUCAUUGAGUUUGUAGUGUGGCCAAAGCUGUUAUCACCUUCCAUAUUUAGGGUUAUAUUUGGACAUUUCCAGUACAAGAAGGAUCACAGACAAAGCCUGAAACAUGACUAGUUUGUGGGAAUAUGAGAUGACUAUUUUCUCGUUUCCACAAAAUGUUUACACUAAAGGAGUUAUGUUCAUUGUUUCGGAUUAGAAAAAUCAUAUUCACAAAAUAUGAAGGCCUUUGUGCCAAGUGAUGGUACAGAUAUAUUAGAAAGAGGUCUUCUGCAUUGUGGCUUUUUGCACUGAAAUAUCUAGACGGAUCUGCUAGAACAUGAGUAUAAUGAGUCAGUUUCUUGCAUUAUAUUUUUGCUGGAAUACAUGUAUUGUACAUGUACUUCAUGCUUGUUUGACCCUGCAGAUAUCCACUCUCUGUGGUUUAAGGGCAGGAGCAAAAGAACACUUGAUUUUCCAAACAAAAACAACAGUAAUACAAUGUGAAUACAGUAAGAGAUACUUCAGCCGCCUACAUGUAUGUGGAAAUAAAUGAGAUCAAAUUAAA